GAGCCUUUUUCAAAAUGUGGCGGUGGCAGGGAAGGUUGUCUGCUCCAGAGGCUUCCCUAGAGUGAAGAGCUCUACUAUGUAUGCUUUAUGCGGCAGAAGGAGUGCUUUGGAGGAGUUUUUAAAUUUGUUUUUUUUUUAAAUCUUAUCGGUUUUAAUUGUAGCAAUGAUUCAAGAAACGUUAGUAGGUGCCCAUAACUUCGGUGGUGGAGAUCCAAAAGUGAACAAGACAGUGUUCUGGCUGCUAAAUUCUUCUUAACUGGUUAUGCCUGGAGACCUUCACUUGGUUCUGUGCCAGCACUGCCCAUGAACUUCAUAGACUGUGAUCUUUGCUAAGGCCUAAAUGAAUGAAGGUAAGUUCCUAAGACAUAGCCAGUAGACCCCCCACCAAUAGGUCUGUGUUCCAUGGAGUCUGCCAGCAUUCAUCACAUGUGUACUCAGAGGGACCGUGUCUACAUCAAAGGCCAGGGUUACCUCUUGCUCUUGGAAAUAAACACUACUUUUCCUUAAAGGGAUUUAUUGCCAAUAAAAUUAGAGAUGGC
rnacentral:lncRNA from 1 species